rnacentral:rRNA from 1 species
GAUGAACGCUGGCGGCGUGCCUAAUACAUGCAAGUCGAGCGAACGGACGAGAAGCUUGCUUCUCUGAUGUUAGCGGCGGACGGGUGAGUAACACGUGGAUAACCUACCUAUAAGACUGGGAUAACUUCGGGAAACCGGUGCUAAUACCGGAUGAUAUUUUGAACCGCAUGGUUCAAAAGUGAAAGACGGUCUUGCUGUCACUUAUAGAUGGAUCCGUGCUGCAUUAGCUAGUUGGUAAGGUAACGGCUUACCAAGGCAACGAUGCAUAGCCGACCUGAGAGGGGGAUCGGCCACACUGGAACUGAGCCACGGUCCAGACUCCUACGGGAGGCAGCAGUAGGGAAUCUUCCGCAAUGGGCGAAAGACUGACGGAGCAACGCCGCGUGAGUGAUGAAGGUCUUCGGAUCGUAAAACUCUGUUAUUGGGGAAGAACAUAUGUGUAAGUAACUGUGCACAUCUUGACGGUACCUAAUCAGAAAGCCACGGCUAACUACGUG